rnacentral:tRNA from 8 species
GGAGGGUAGCGCGGAACGGUCCGCAAGCGGUCUAGAAAACCGUGCCAGUCGCAAGGCUGAGGGUUCGAUUCCUUUACUUUCCGC